GUCCACAGCCACUCCACGCUGACCGCGCCCGAUCUCCUCUGAUCUCAGAAGCUAAGCAGGGUCGGGCCUGGUGAGCACUCGGAUGGGAGAAUGGAAAGAGAACCGAGUGUGCGCACC
rnacentral:rRNA from 1 species